AUUUCCCAUGAAAAUGUUGUGGAUUAGCAGUUAUAGAGCGAGAGUAAGAGAGAAUGCUGCCCAACGGUGUGAUUAC
rnacentral:sRNA from 1 species